GCUGUGUGAAGACAUGUGAACCUGUUGCUGGACUGUUCACAGCCAGCUUUGUGUGGUUGAUUGUGGCUGUCAUGGGAGCAGGGUUAUGAUUGUCUUUUGGAGGCUGGUUUCCUCAAAGAUGAGGAAGAGUUGGCUCUGCAGACUGACCUGAAUGCAGUUUGCCAGUGACAAUCUGGAUGAUCCAGAAGAGGAAAAGGUCAUGUGGUCUGAUGAGACAGAAUAAAGCUUCUUGGUCUAAACUCCACUUGUGUUUGGAGGAAGAAGGAUGAGUACAACCCAAGAACACAUCCCAACCGUGAAGCAUGGAGGUGGAAACAUUCUUAAGGGAGGUUUUUCUGCAAAGGGGACAGGGCGACUGCACUGUAUUGAGGGGAUGAUGGAUGGGGCCAUGUAUCGCGAGAUCUUGGCCAACCACCUCCUUCCCUCAGUAAGAGCAUGGAAGAUGGGUUGUGGCCAUAGACUGUGUUUGUGUCUAUGUAUAGUAAUAUUAACAGUCUAUAGUUGCAGCUGAGCCUUCCAGCAUGACAAUGGCCUGAAACACACAGCCAGGCUAACCAAGGGUUAGCUCUGCAAGAAGCAUCUCAAGGUCCUGGAGUGGCCAAGCCAGUCUCCAGACUUGUACCCAAUAAAUCUUUGGCGGGAGAUUAAAGUCUGUAGUGCCCAGCGACCGCCCUGAAACCUGAAGGUCUGUAUGGAGGAGUGGGCCAAAAUCCCAAACCUGGCCAAGAACUACAGGAAUGUAUGAUCUCUGUAAUUGCUAACAAAGGUUUCUGUAUCUAAUAGUAAAUUCUGCUUUUCUAAUUUAUCAAAUACUUAAGCAAUAAAAUGGAAACUAAUUAAAUUA